rnacentral:lncRNA from 1 species
UUGAACUUGAGGUUGUGGAAAUUGUUAAACUUGAGAAUCAGGUGUUGGUUGAAUUUGAGUUUGUGUGUUUGUUGAACUUGAGUUUGUGGUGUUUUUGAACUUGAGGUUGUUGAAAUUGUUAAUCUUGAGAAUUGGGUAUUGGUUGAACUUGAGUUUGUGUCGUGUUUGAAUGUGAGUUUGGUUUGUGUUUUAACUUGAGUUUGUGAUGUUUUUGAAUUUGAGUUUGUGUGUUGGUUGAACUUGAGUUUGUGUUGUGUUUGAACUUGAGUUUGUGGUGUUUUUGAACUUGAGUUUGUGUGUUUGUUGAACUUGAGUUUGUGUUGUGUUCGAUCUUGAGUUUGUGGUGAUUUUGAACUUGAGUUUGUGACGUGUUUGAACUUGAGUUUGUGGCGUUUUUGAACUUGAGUUUGUGGUGUUUCUGAACUUGAGUUUGUGGUGUUUUUGAACUUGAGUUUGUGGCGUUUGUUGAACUUUAGUUUCUGUUGUUUUUGAACUUGAAUUUGUGUCGUGUUUGAACUUGAGUUUGUGGCAUUUGUUGAACUUGAGUUUGUGGUGUUUUUGAACUUGACGGUGUGGAAUUUGUUAAACUUGAGAAUUGGGUUUUGGUUGAACUUGCGUUUUUGUGUUUUUUAAAUUAGGUUUGUGUAGUGUUUGAACCUGAGUUUGUUGUGUUUUUGAACUUGAGGUGCGUGUUUGGUGACCUUGAGUUUGUGUCGUGUUUGAAUGUGAGUUUGGUUCGUGUUUUAACUUGAGUUUGUGAUGUUUUUGAAUUUGAGUUUGUGUGUUGGUUGAACUUGAGUUUGUGUUGUGUUUGAACUUGAGUUUGUGGUGUUUUUGAACUUGAGUUUGUGUGUUGGUUGAACUUGAGUUUGUUGCGUUUUUUGAACUUGAGUUUGUGGUGUUUGAACUUGAGUUUGUGUGGUGUUUGAACUUGAGUUUGUAGCGUGUUUGACCAUUAGUUUGGUGUUUUUGAACUUGAGUUUUUGUGUUCGUUGAACUUGAGUUUGUUUUGUGUUUGAACUUGAGAUUUGUGGUGUUUUUGAACUUGAGUUUGUGUGUUUGUUGAACUUGAGUUUGUGUCGUGUUUGAACUUUAGUUUGUGGCGUUUGUUGAGCUUGAUUUUGUGUCGUGUUUGAACUUGAGUUUGUGGUUUUUGUUGAACUUGAGUUUGUGUCGUGUUUGAACUUGAGUUUGUGUGUUUUUUGAACUUGAGUUUGUGUGGUUUUUGAACUUGAGUUUGUUUCGUGUUUGAACUUGAGUUUGUGGUGUUUUUGAACCUGAAUCUGCGUGUUUGGUUAACUUGAGUUUUUGUGUUUUUUGAACUUAGGUUUCUGUUGUUUUUGAACUUGAGGUUGUGGAAAUUGUUAAACUUGAGAAUCAGGUGUUGGUUGAAUUUGAGUUUGUGUGUUUGUUGAACUUGAGUUUGUGGUGUUUUUGAACUUGAGGUUGUUGAAAUUGUUAAUCUUGAGAAUUGGGUAUUGGUUGAACUUGAGUUUGUGUCGUGUUUGAAUGUGAGUUUGGUUCGUGUUUUAACUUGAGUUUGUGAUGUUUUUGAAUUUGAAUUUGUGUGUUGGUUGAACUUGAGUUUGUGUUGUGUUUGAACUUGAGUUUGUGGUGUUUUUGAACUUGAGUUUGUGUGUUUGUUGAACUUGAGUUUGUGUUGUGUUCGAUCUUGAGUUUGUGGUGAUUUUGAACUUGAGUUUGUGUGGUGUUUGAACUUGAGUUUGUGUCGUGUUUGAACUUGAGUUUGUGUGUUUUUUGAACUUGAGUUUGUGUGGUUUUUGAACUUGAGUUUGUUUCGUGUUUGAACUUGAGUUUGUGGUGUUUUUGAACUUGAAUUUGCGUGUUUGGUUAACUUGAGUUUUUGUGUUUUUUGAACUUAGGUUUCUGUUGUUUUUGAACUUGAGGUUGUGGAAAUUGUUAAACUUGAGAAUCAGGUGUUGGUUGAAUUUGAGUUUGUGUGUUUGUUGAACUUGAGUUUGUGGUGUUUUUGAACUUGAGGUUGUUGAAAUUGUUAAUCUUGAGAAUUGGGUAUUGGUUGAACUUGAGUUUGUGUCGUGUUUGAAUGUGAGUUUGGUUUGUGUUUUAACUUGAGUUUGUGAUGUUUUUGAAUUUGAGUUUGUGUGUUGGUUGAACUUGAGUUUGUGUUGUGUUUGAACUUGAGUUUGUGUCGUGUUUGAACUUGAGUUUGUGUGUUUUUUGAACUUGAGUUUGUGUGGUUUUUGAACUUGAGUUUGUUUCGUGUUUGAACUUGAGUUUGUGGUGUUUUUGAACUUGAAUUUGCGUGUUUGGUUAACUUGAGUUUUUGUGUUUUUUGAACUUUGGUUUCUGUUGUUUUUGAACUUGAGGUUGUGGAAAUUGUUAAACUUGAGAAUCAGGUGUUGGUUGAAUUUGAGUUUGUGUGUUUGUUGAACUUGAGUUUGUGGUGUUUUUGAACUUGAGGUUGUUGAAAUUGUUAAUCUUGAGAAUUGGGUAUUGGUUGAACUUGAGUUUGUGUCGUGUUUGAAUGUGAGUUUGGUUUGUGUUUUAACUUGAGUUUGUGAUGUUUUUGAAUUUGAGUUUGUGUGUUGGUUGAACUUGAGUUUGUGUUGUGUUUGAACUUGAGUUUGUGGUGUUUUUGAACUUGAGUUUGUGUGUUUGUUGAACUUGAGUUUGUGUUGUGUUCGAUCUUGAGUUUGUGGUGAUUUUGAACUUGAGUUUGUGACGUGUUUGAACUUGAGUUUGUGGCGUUUUUGAACUUGAGUUUGUGGUGUUUCUGAACUUGAGUUUGUGGUGUUUUUGAACUUGAGUUUGUGGCGUUUGUUGAACUUUAGUUUCUGUUGUUUUUGAACUUGAAUUUGUGUCGUGUUUGAACUUGAGUUUGUGGCAUUUGUUGAACUUGAGUUUGUGGUGUUUUUGAACUUGAGGGUGUGGAAUUUGUUAAACUUGAGAAUUGGGUUUUGGUUGAACUUGCGUUUUUGUGUUUUUUAAAUUAGGUUUGUGUAGUGUUUGAACCUGAGUUUGUGGUGUUUUUGAACUUGAGGUGCGUGUUUGGUGACCUUGAGUUUGUGUCGUGUUUGAAUGUGAGUUUGGUUCGUGUUUUAACUUGAGUUUGUGAUGUUUUUGAAUUUGAGUUUGUGUGUUGGUUGAACUUGAGUUUGUGUUGUGUUUGAACUUGAGUUUGUGGUGUUUUUGAAUUUGAGUUUGUGUGUUGGUUGAACUUGAGUUUGUUGCGUUUUUUGAACUUGAGUUUGUGGUGUUUGAACUUGAGUUUGUGUGGUGUUUGAACUUGAGUUUGUAGCGUGUUUGACCAUGAGUUUGGUGUUUUUGAACUUGAGUUUUUGUGUUCGUUGAACUUGAGUUUGUUUUGUGUUUGAACUUGAGAUUGUGGUGUUUUUGAACUUGAGUUAGUGUGUUUGUUGAACUUGAGUUUGUGUCGUGUUUGAACUUUAGUUUGUGGCGUUUGUUGAGCUUGAUUUUGUGUCGUGUUUGAACUUGAGUUUGUGGUUUUUGUUGAACUUGAGUUUGUGUCGUGUUUGAACUUGAGUUUGUGUGUUUUUUGAACUUGAGUUUGUGUGGUUUUUGAACUUGAGGGUGUGGAAUUUGUUAAACUUGAGAAUUGGGUUUUGGUUGAACUUGCGUUUUUGUGUUUUUUAAAUUAGGUUUGUGUAGUGUUUGAACCUGAGUUUGUGGUGUUUUUGAACUUGAGGUGCGUGUUUGGUGACCUUGAGUUUGUGUCGUGUUUGAAUGUGAGUUUGGUUCGUGUUUUAACUUGAGUUUGUGAUGUUUUUGAACUUGAGUUUGUGUGUUGGUUGAACUUGAGUUUGUGUUGUGUUUGAACUUGAGUUUGUGGUGUUUUUGAAUUUGAGUUUAUGUGUUGGUUGAACUUGAGUUUGUUGCGUUUUUUGAACUUGAGUUUGUGGUGUUUGAACUUGAGUUUGUGUGGUGUUUGAACUUGAGUUUGUAGCGUGUUUGACCAUGAGUUUGGUGUUUUUGAACUUGAGUUUUUGUGUUCGUUGAACUUGAGUUUGUUUUGUGUUUGAACUUGAGAUUGUGGUGUUUUUGAACUUGAGUUAGUGUGUUUGUUGAACUUGAGUUUGUGUCGUGUUUGAACUUUAGUUUGUGGCGUUUGUUGAGCUUGAUUUUGUGUCGUGUUUGAACUUGA